CCUACGGGGGGCUGCAGUGGGGAAUAUUGGACAAUGGGGGGAACCCUGAUCCAGCCAUGCCGCGUGUGUGAAGAAGGCCCUCGGGUUGUAAAGCACUUUCAGUGAGGAAGAACGCCUGGUGGUUAAUACCCAUCAGGAAAGACAUCACUCACAGCAGAAGCACCGGCUAACUCCGUGCCAGCAGCCGCGGUAAUACGGUGGGUGCGAGCGUUAAUCGGAAUUACUGGGCGUAAAGCGCGCGUAGGUGGCUUGAUAAGCCGGUUGUGAAAGCCCCGGGCUCAACCUGGGAACGGCAUCCGGAACUGUCAAGCUAGAGUGCAGGAGAGGAAGGUAGAAUUCCCUGUGUAGCGGUGAAAUGCGUAGAGAUCGGGAGGAAUACCAGUGGCGAAGGCGGCCUUCUGGACUGACACUGACGCUGAGGUGCGAAAGCGUGGGUAGCAAACAGGAUUAGAUACCCUAGUAGUC
rnacentral:rRNA from 1 species